rnacentral:piRNA from 1 species
GAUAUACAUGGAAGCCGAAUGUUGUAUA